rnacentral:rRNA from 1 species
GGCGAGCCUGUGAGGGUGAGCGAAUCUCGGAAAGCCGGUCUCAGUUCGGAUUGGGGUCUGCAACUCGACCUCAUGAAGUCGGAGUCGCUAGUAAUCGCAGAUCAGCAACGCUGCGGUGAAUACGUUCCCGGGGCUUGUACACACCGCCCGUCAAGUCAUGAAAGUUGGUAACACCCGAAGCCGGUGGCCUAACCGUUGUGGGGGAGCCGUCGAAGGUGGGACUGGUGAUUAGGACUAAGUCGUAACAAGGUAGCCGUACCGGAAGGUGCGGCUGGAUCACCUCCUUUCUAAGGAG